GUGUCAGCAGCCGCGGUAAUACGUAGGGGGCGAGCGUUAUCCGGAAUCAUUGGGCGUAAAGGGCGCGUAGGCGGAUAUUUAAGUCAGGUGUGAAAACCCAGGGCUCAACCCUGGAUCUGCAUCUGAUACUGGGUAUCUUGAGGACAGGAGAGGAAAGUGGAAUUCCUAGUGUAGCGGUGAAAUGCGUAGAUAUUAGGAGGAACACCAGUGGCGAAGGCGACUUUCUGGACUGUAACUGACGCUGAGGCGCGAAAGCGUGGGGAGCAAACAGGAUUAGAUACCCUGGUAGUCCACGCCGUAAACGAUGAGUGCUAGGUGUAGGGGGUAUCGACCCCUCCUGUGCCGCAGUUAACACAAUAAGCACUCCGCCUGGGGAGUACGGCCGCAAGGUUGAA
rnacentral:rRNA from 1 species